AUUGAACGCUGGCGGCAUGCCUUACACGUGCAAGUCGAACGGUAACAGGUCUUCGGAUGCUGACGAGUGGCGAACGGGUGAGUAAUACAUCGGAACGUGCCUAGUAGUGGGGGAUAACUACUCGAAAGAGUGGCUAAUACCGCAUGAGAUCUACGGAUGAAAGCAGGGGAUCGCAAGACCUUGUGCUACUAGAGCGGCCGAUGGCAGAUUAGGUGGUUGGUGGGAUAAAAGCUUACCAAGCCGACGAUCUGUAGCUGGUCUGAGAGGACGAUCAGCCACACUGGGACUGAGACACGGCCCAGACUCCUACGGGAGGCAGCAGUGGGGAAUUUUGGACAAUGGGCGCAAGCCUGAUCCAGCAAUGCCGCGUGCAGGAUGAAGGCCUUCGGGUUGUAAACUGCUUUUGUACGGAACGAAAAGCCCCGGGUUAAUACCCUGGGGUCAUGACGGUACCGUAAGAAUAAGCACCGGCUAACUACGUGCCAGCCGCCGCCGUAA
rnacentral:rRNA from 1 species